rnacentral:rRNA from 1 species
CUACGGGGCGCAGCAGUCGGGAAACUUUUGCAAUGCGCGCAAGCGUGACAAAGCAAGCCAGAGUGUUUUUCAUUAGAGAAACUUUUGCCAACUGUAAAAAGGUUGGCGAAUAAGGACUGGGCAAGACCGGUGCCAGCCGCCGCGGUAAUCCCGGCGGUCCAAGUCGCAGUCAUCUUUAUUGGGUCUAAAACAUCCGUAGCUUGUUAUGUAAGUCUCCUGUAAAAUCUGAAAUCUCAAGUUUCAGACAUGCAAGAGAUACUACAUUUCUAGAGACCGGAAGACGUAGCGAGUACGAUUGAGGUAGUGGUAAAAUACGUUAAUCUUAAUCGGACUAACAAUGGCGAAGGCACGCUACGAGGACGGAUCUGACAGUGAGGGAUGAAGGCUAGGGGCGCAAAAUGGAUUAGAUACCCGGGUAGUC